GACGAACGCUGGCGGCGUGCUUAACACAUGCAAGUCGAACGGAAAGGCCUGCUUUCCCUUGUGGAUUGCGGGUACUCGAGUGGCGAACGGGUGAGUAACACGUGAGUGAUCUGCCCCCAACUUGGGUAUAAGCCUGGGAAACUGGGUCUAAUUCCCGAUAGGACUGCAGGGUGGUGCCUGUGGUGGAAAACGAUUUUCUAGUGGUUGGGGAUGAGCUCGCGGCCUAUCAGCUUGUUGGUGGGGUAAUGGCCUACCAAGGCGGCGACGGGUAGCCGGCCUGAGAGGGUGGACGGCGACAUUGGGACUGAGAGACGGCCCAGACUCCUACGGGAGGCAGCAGUGGGGAAUAAUGCACAAUGGGCGGAAGCCUGAUGCAGCGACGCCGCGUGGGGGAUGACGGCCUUCGGGUGGUAAACUCCUUUCGACCGCGAGGAAGCCACCUGGUUGGAAGGGUGGUGACGGUAGUGGUAGAAGAAGCACCGGCUAACUACGUG
rnacentral:rRNA from 1 species